GAUAGUGUACUCUUUCUACGGUGGCCUAAAGGAGCAGCGAAGUAGGCGUAGGGGAAUUUAUCGUAGUCUCACAGUCGCUAUGUCUUUUAAGAGGGAAGGGGACGACUGGAGUCAACUCAAUGUGCUCAAAAAACGGAGAGUUGGGGACCUGCUGGCUAGUUACAUCCCUGAGGACGAGGCACUGAUGCUGCGGGAUGGACGCUUUGCUUGUGCCAUCUGCCCCCAUCGACCAGUACUAGACACGCUGGCCAUGUUGACAGCCCACCGUGCAGGCAAGAAGCAUUUGUCCAGUCUGAAGCUUUUCUAUGGCAAAAAGCAAACAGGCAAGGGAACAGAGCAAAAUCCAAGACAGCAGAACGAAUUGAAGACAGAAAGCAAAACUGAGGCUCCUUUGCUAACCCAGACUCGAAUCAUCACCCAGAAUGCUCUACACAGAGCUCCCCACUAUAACAGUUGCUGCCGGAGGAAGCACAGACCAGAAGCCCCUGCUCCCUCUGUCUCCAGUCCUCCUUUGCCAACUGCAGAGGUCCAACUCCAGAGUGCAGAGAUCAGUAAGGAACCUGAGCCUAGGGAGAGAUCAGAUGCCAAAGAGUCAGCAGCUCUCUUGGCCUCUGCACCCAUGAGCCCCACCAAACGAUGAGUCCUGAACCAUUACCUUACCCUCCGAAGCUCUGGAUGGGUCCCAGAUGGACGAGGUCGAUGGAUAAAGGAUGAAAAUGUUGAGUUUGACUCUGAUGAGGAAGAGCCCCCCGAUCUCCCCUUGGACUAACAUUAAUAACCCCUUUCCCCAUUUGUCCUACAAAUAAACUGCAGUGGGUCCUGGGAGCACACUGA